rnacentral:rRNA from 1 species
CCUACGGGGGGCAGCAGUCGGGAAUAUUGCGCAAUGGAGGAAACUCUGACGCAGUGACGCCGCGUGCAGGAAGAAGGUUUUCGGAUUGUAAACUGCUUUAGACAGGGAAGAAAGAAAUGACGGUACCUGUAGAAUAAGCUCCGGCUAACUACGUGCCAGCAGCCGCGGUAAUACGUAGGGAGCAAGCGUUAUCCGGAUUUAUUGGGUGUAAAGGGUGCGUAGACGGGUAUACAAGUUAGUAGUGAAAUCCCUCGGCUUAACUGAGGAACUGCUACUAAAACUAUAUAUCUUGAGUACUGGAGGGG